UACGGAGGGUGCAAGCGUUGUCCGGAUUUAUUGGGUUUAAAGGGUGCGUAGGUGGUUUUAUAAGUCUGGUUUGAAAGCUGGUCGCUCAACGAUCAGAUGUGGCUGGAAACUAUAGAACUUGAAUGGAUUGGCGGUAGCCGGAAUGGGUCAUGUAGCGGUGAAAUGCAUAGAUAUGACCCGGAACCCCGAUUGCGAAGGCAGGCUACUACGAUUUGAUUGACACUGAGGCACGAGAGCAUGGGUAGCGAACAGG
rnacentral:rRNA from 1 species